rnacentral:rRNA from 1 species
CCAGAAGUAGGUAGCUUAACCGCAAGGAGGGCGCUUACCACGGUAGGAUUCGUGACUGGGGUGAAGUCGUAACAAGGUAGCCGUAUCGGAAGGUGCGGCUGGAUCACCUCCUUUCUAGAGUG